AUCCUCCUCCAAACCUCAAGCUACGCCCAUGAUCUGUUUGAUAUUUAGCUGAAAGUGAUCAUGUUCUCUGAUUAUUUCUCCUGUGUUUUCAGGCUCUUCUCUGAUUAUCCCUCUGGUUCUUCUGGUUCUGAUCAUCGCUGGACUCUUAUUACUGUUUCUCUGUAAAAAGCGUCAAUCUCGAGGCGGUGAUUCAUCAUCUCAGACUGAACCAGGCAAACAUGAAGUUGUUUCUCACACUGGUUGUGAUUACGAGGAGAUUGAAGACGCUCACAAACAAUUACCCACAAACCCCUCUGAUUCUUCUGUCUUCCCAUACGCCACUGCCCAAUUACCCACAAACCCC